UCGCACGAGAAAGUUGGAGCAUCCAUGAGUAAAGUGGCGCACGGGUGAGUAACACGUGAAUUAUCUACCUCCGAGUGGGGAAUAACUGAGAGAAAUCUUAGCUAAUACCGCAUAACACUUACGAGUCAAAGCAGCAAUGCGCUUGGAGAGGAGUUCGCGGCCGAUUAGUUAGUUGGCGGGGUAAUGGCCCACCAAGACGAUGAUCGGUAUCCGGCCUGAGAGGGCGCACGGACACACUGGAACUGAAACACGGUCCAGACUCCUACGGGAGGCAGCAGUGGGGAAUUUUGCGCAAUGGGGGAAACCCUGACGCAGCAACGCCGCGUGGAGGAUGAAAUAUCUUGGUAUGUAAACUCCUUUCGAUGAGGAAGAUUAUGACGGUACCCAUAGAAGAAGCCCCGGCUAACUUCGUGCCAGCAGCCGCGGUAAUACGAGGGGGGCAAGCGUUGUUCGGAUUUAUUGGGCGUAAAGGGUGCGUAGGCGGUUUGGCAAGUCUUAUGUGAAAUCUUCGGGCUCAACCCGAAGCCUGCAUAAGAAACUGCCGGGCUUGAGUAUGGGAGAGGUGAGUGGAAUUUCCGGUGUAGCGGUGAAAUGCGUAGAUAUCGGAAGGAACACCUGUGGCGAAAGCGGCUCACUGGACCAUAACUGACGCUGAUGCACGAAAGCUAGGGGAGCAAACAGGAUUAGAUACCCUGGUAGUCCUAGCCCUAAACGAUGAUU
rnacentral:rRNA from 1 species